rnacentral:rRNA from 1 species
AUGAACGCUGGCGGCGUGCUUAACACAUGCAAGUCGAACGAUGAAGCCCAGCUUGCUGGGUGGAUUAGUGGCGAACGGGUGAGUAACACGUGAGUAACCUGCCCCUGACUCUGGGAUAAGCCCGGGAAACUGGGUCUAAUACUGGAUAUGACCUGUCACCGCAUGGUGGUGGGUGGAAAGAUUUUUUGGUUGGGGAUGGACUCGCGGCCUAUCAGCUUGUUGGUGAGGUAGUGGCUCACCAAGGCGACGACGGGUAGCCGGCCUGAGAGGGUGACCGGCCACACUGGGACUGAGACACGGCCCAGACUCCUACGGGAGGCAGCAGUGGGGAAUAUUGCACAAUGGGCGCAAGCCUGAUGCAGCGACGCCGCGUGAGGGAUGACGGCCUUCGGGUUGUAAACCUCUUUCAGUAGGGAAGAAGCCUUUGGGUGACGGUACCUGCAGAAGAAGCGCCGGCUAACUACGUGCCAGCAGCCGCGGUAAUACGUAGGGCGCAAGCGUUAUCCGGAUUUAUUGGGCGUAAAGAGCUCGUAGGCGGUUUGUCGCGUCUGCCGUGAAAGUCCGGGGCUUAACUCCGGAUCUGCGGUGGGUACGGGCAGACUAGAGUGCAGUAGGGGAGACUGGAAUUCCUGGUGUAGCGGUGAAAUGCGCAGAUAUCAGGAGGAACACCGAUGGCGAAGGCAGGUCUCUGGGCUGUAACUGACGCUGAGGAGCGAAAGCAUGGGGAGCGAACAGGAUUAGAUACCCUGGUAGUCCAUGCCGUAAACGUUGGGCACUAGGUGUGGGGGACAUUCCACGUUUUCCGCGCCGUAGCUAACGCAUUAAGUGCCCCGCCUGGGGAGUACGGCCGCAAGGCUAAAACUCAAAGGAAUUGACGGGGGCCCGCACAAGCGGCGGAGCAUGCGGAUUAAUUCGAUGCAACGCGAAGAACCUUACCAAGGCUUGACAUGGACUGGAUCGCCGCAGAGAUGUGGUUUCCCUUCGGGGCUGGUUCACAGGUGGUGCAUGGUUGUCGUCAGCUCGUGUCGUGAGAUGUUGGGUUAAGUCCCGCAACGAGCGCAACCCUCGUUCCAUGUUGCCAGCGGGUUAUGCCGGGGACUCAUGGGAGACUGCCGGGGUCAACUCGGAGGAAGGUGAGGACGACGUCAAAUCAUCAUGCCCCUUAUGUCUUGGGCUUCACGCAUGCUACAAUGGCCGGUACAAAGGGUUGCGAUACUGUGAGGUGGAGCUAAUCCCAAAAAGCCGGUCUCAGUUCGGAUUGGGGUCUGCAACUCGACCCCAUGAAGUCGGAGUCGCUAGUAAUCGCAGAUCAGCAACGCUGCGGUGAAUACGUUCCCGGGCCUUGUACUCACCGCC